AUGUCUGUGAGCACUUGCUUUAUCAGCUGCAGGUCGAUAGAGAAGAUGGCGGGGAUCAGCCCGAUCCAGAACAGGAACUACUUUACCAUAAUCGGCAACCCAUCUGUGGAACUGCGGCAGCAGGAUGGGCAUGAUGUCGUGGCACCCGGCGUCGAGGGGCGGCACGCCUCUCCGGCCAGCGAUCAGCAGCCGCUUCGCCUCCGGCAAGGACCCGGCCAGGAACGUGUAGGGCGGCCCUCGGAUCCCCUGCCUCACGAACGACCGCGCCAUGGCGCGCGGCCGCCACACGAGACGCCACAGUGCGAGCAGCAGGGCAAGGAGGGCGGCAAGCUGCAGGGCCGCCAUGCCACAAGAGACUGGUAA
rnacentral:rRNA from 1 species